rnacentral:rRNA from 1 species
UACGGAGGGGGCGAGCGUUAUUCGGGAUCAUUGGGCGUAAAGGGCGCGUAGGCGGCCCCGUAAGUCUUGGGUGAAAGCCCUCGGCUCAACCGAGAAAUUGCCUUGGAUACUGCGGGGCUCGAGGCUGGAAGAGGGCAGUGGAAUUCCCGGUGUAGCGGUGAAAUGCGUAGAUAUCGGAAGGAACAUCAGUGGCGAAGGCGACUUCCUGGACCAAUACUGACACUCAGGUGCGAAAGCGUGGGGAGCAAACAGG